GCCCCCACCACCCCCACGCGGCAGCGUUAGCCCCGCCUUCCUCGGCCGCGAAGCCACGCCCCCUGGCGUCUCCUUCCGCAGCCAUGCUGACACCUUCGUUCCCUGCCCCUCCGCCUGCAGUAGUGUCUUUAAAAAAAAGAGAUUAACACGCCGUGGGCCUGGUCUUGCCUUUCACCCAGAACUUCAGCUUCUUGUUUAAUUUCCCAAGAUCGUAAUUUCUUUCUAACGUAAGGAUCUUCGGAAAGAAACCCGAGGGGGGUGGGAGGCAAAAUAUAAAUCACGAUGCUUAUGACUCAGUUUGUGACACAAGUGGAAACUCGAGCAACAAAUAGUCCUUUGAAAGACUCAUGCAAAAACAGAACACCUGUGGGAAAGAACAGAGAACAUCUUACUCUCCUAUGGCAUGUUCGGGAGACCAGUGGGAGGAGGUGGACCCAGGAAUAAUUCUGCCUCGUGUCGCUGCUAUACCUACUUACCAAAGACCAGCUUUUGGAGCACCACUGCAGAAUAACUGCGUUUUAAACUUUCUGCCUAACUCGGCUUCAGGCUUACAGCAUGACACCAAACUUCUUGAGAGACACCCCCUUCCUGCCACUCCCUCCUCCACAAUACAUUCUCAUCUCCACCAAAGCAACUUGGAUCCCUCUGAAAGAUUUACUGUCGGCACCGCAGACAAAUAAGUGAAUAGCCAACCAGCAGUUGAUUCUAAAGACAGGAUGCUCAUUUGCAUGAGUAGUUGCACCUCGUUUGCAUCCUAUUUGCAUGUCGUUUGCAUAUCGUGUCCACCCUGUCAGAAUGUAUAUAAAUCCUUUAUACUUUCACUUUUUUAAUUUUCUAAAAAGGUCUACACCCACACAUCCUGCCCAGACUGUCUGGUAAAAUUACAGGUUGUGUAUUCCUA